UGUUAAAAAUUUCAUCUAUUCCUACUGUUAAAAGCCGGCGUGAUUGAUGGAGUAAUUAGACAGCUAUACAUGGCAUUCUAUGUAUACCUCAUGCUGGCAUACAUGGACUAGUUUUUAAUAGUAAAAAUGGAUAGAAUUUUUAACA
rfam:Gossypium raimondii Chr04_contig_39, whole genome shotgun sequence.